ACGAACGCUGGCGGCGUGCUUAACACAUGCAAGUCGAACGAAGAGCGCUGGAAGCUUGCUUCUAUCAAUCUUAGUGGCGAACGGGUGAGUAACGCGUAAUCAACCUGCCCUUCAGAGGGGGACAACAGUUGGAAACGACUGCUAAUACCGCAUACGAUCCAAUCUCGGCAUCGGGACUGGAUGAAAGGUGGCCUCUAUUUAUAAGCUAUCACUGAAGGAGGGGAUUGCGUCUGAUUAGCUGGUUGGAGGGGUAACGGCCCACCAAGGCGAUGAUCAGUAGCCGGUCUGAGAGGAUGAACGGCCACAUUGGGACUGAGACACGGCCCAGACUCCUACGGGAGGCAGCAGUGGGGAAUCUUCCGCAAUGGACGAAAGUCUGACGGAGCAACGCCGCGUGAGUGAUGACGGCCUUCGGGUUGUAAAGCUCUGUUAAUCGGGACGAAUGGUUCUUGUGCGAAUAGUGCGAGGAUUUGACGGUACCGGAAUAGAAAGCCACGGCUAACUACGUG
rnacentral:rRNA from 1 species